rnacentral:rRNA from 1 species
UGGGGAAUUUUGCACAAUGGGGGAAACCCUGAUGCAGCGACGCCGCGUGAUUUAGAAGGCCUUCGGGUUGUAAAAAUCUUUUCUAUGGGAAGAAAAUGACAGUACCAUAGGAAUAAGGACCGGCUAAUUACGUGCCAGCAGCCGCGGUAAUACGUAAGGUCCGAGCGUUGUCCGGAAUCAUUGGGCGUAAAGGGUACGUAGGCGGGUAAGCAAGUUAGAAGUGAAAUCCUAUAGCUCAACUAUAGUAAGCUUUUAAAACUGCUCAUCUUGAGGUAUGGAAGGGCAAGUGGAAUUCCUAGUGUAGCGGUGAAAUGCGCAGAUAUUAGGAGGAAUACCGGUGGCGAAGGCGACUUUCUGGCCAUAACCUGACGCUGAGGUACGAAAGCGUGGGUAGCAAACAGG